GCAUAUACCACAACUUGAAGAUAAUGCACCUCAUCUCGUCCGAAAGCAGAAGCUAAGCAGGUUUGGGCCGGGUUAGUAUUUGGAUGGGAGACCACCUGGGAAGACGGGGUGCUGUAGGCU
rnacentral:rRNA from 1 species